UUAACUGUUAAAGCUAGCUAACAGCAAAUAAUUUAAAAAAACUAAAUUUUCUUUAGUAGGUGGAAUUAAUUCAAGAAAGUAUAUUAUUUUUUAAUUUAUUUAAAGGAACUAGUAAGUCUAGAAGAAAAACCAGGAUUAGAUACCCUGCUAUUCUAGAUGAUGGUAACAAGGGUAGUAAAAGUUAUUCUUCAAACCCAAAGAUUUUGGCGGCAUCUUAGCCAAAUAGAGGAACUUGUCCCUUAAUCGAUAAUCCUCGUUAUAUCUUACCUUUUCUUGCUAAGCUUGUAUACCUCCGUUGUCAGAUUACUCCUAGAAGGAUGUUUUCAAUAAAUAUAAUUUUUUGACUUCAGGUCAAGGUGCAGCCUAUGGAAAGGUGGUGAUGAGUUACAAUUUAAAUGAAAAAUUACGGAUAUUAUUUGUAAAUAUAAUAAUGGAAGGUGGAUUUAUUAGUAAAUUAUUUUAAGUAUAAAUGAUUGAAAUUGGCAAUAAGAUGUGCACAUAUCGCCCGUCACUCUCCUCUCAAGAG
rnacentral:rRNA from 1 species